rnacentral:rRNA from 1 species
GGGUAGCGUUGCGUGCGGUGGGGCAUAAUAAUAGGGUAAACCAGGUAUUUAUAACUUGAAUACAUAGGGUUAUAAAAGCAAACCCGGGGAACUGAAACAUCUAAGUACCCGGAGGAAAGGACAUCAAUUAGAUACUCCCCUAGUAGCGGCGAGCGAACGGGGACCAGCCGAGCCAUGAGUGUGACUAGAAUGUGUUGGAAAGCACAACCAAAGUGGGUGACAGUCCCGUAUAGGAAGCAUGAUUGGACGUAUUAAGUAGGGCGGGACACGUGAAAUCCUGUUCGAAGAUCGGAGGACCACCUCCGAAGGCUAAGUACUCCUUACUGACCGA